AUUGAACGCUGGCGGCAUGCUUUACACAUGCAAGUCGAACGGUAACAGGGUGCUUGCACCGCUGACGAGUGGCGAACGGGUGAGUAAUGCGUCGGAACGUGCCGAGUAGUGGGGGAUAACGCAGCGAAAGUUGUGCUAAUACCGCAUACGUACUGAGGUAGAAAGUGGGGGACCUUCGGGCCUCACGCUAUUCGAGCGGCCGACGUCUGAUUAGCUAGUAGGUGAAGUAAAGGCCCACCUAGGCGACGAUCAGUAGCGGGUCUGAGAGGAUGGUCCGCCACACGGGUACUGAGACACUGCACAGACUCCUACGGUAAGCAGCAGUGGGGAAUUUUGGACAAUGGGCGAAAGCCUGUUCCAGCCAUGCCGCGUGUCUGAAUAAGGCCUUCGAGUUGUAAAGGACUUUUGUCAGGGAGGAAAUCCCUAGUGCUAAUAACACUGGGGGAUGACAGUACCUGAAGAAUAAGCACCGGCUAACUACGUGCCAGCAGCCGCAGUAA
rnacentral:rRNA from 1 species